AUUGAACGCUGGCGGCAUGCCUUACACAUGCAAGUCGAACGGCAGCACGGGUGCUUGCACCUGGUGGCGAGUGGCGAACGGGUGAGUAAUACAUCGGAACAUGUCCUGUAGUGGGGGAUAGCCCGGCGAAAGCCGGAUUAAUACCGCAUACGAUCUACGGAUGAAAGCGGGGGACCUUCGGGCCUCGCGCUAUAGGGUUAGCCGAUGGCUGAUUAGCUAGUUGGUGGGGUAAAGGCCUACCAAGGCGACGAUCAGUAGCUGGUCUGAGAGGACGACCAGCCACACUGGGACUGAGACACGGCCCAGACUCCUACGGGAGGCAGCAGUGGGGAAUUUUGGACAAUGUGCGAAAGCCUGAUCCAGCAAUGCCGCGUGUGUGAAGAAGGCCUUCGGGUUGUAAAGCACUUUUGUCCGGAAAGAAAUCCUUGGCCCUAAUACGGUCGGGGGAUGACGGUACCGGAAGAAUAAGCACCGGCUAACUACGUG
rnacentral:rRNA from 1 species